AGGAUGUAGCUCAGUGUUAGAAUGCUUGUCUCGCAUACAGGAGACCCUGGGUUUGAUUCCCAGUACUA
rnacentral:tRNA from 1 species